UCCAAGGAAGGCAGCAGGCGCGCAAAUUACCCACUCCCGGCACGGGGAGGUAGUGACGAAAAAUAACGAUACGGGACUCAUCCGAGGCCCCGUAAUCGGAAUGAGAACACUUUAAACCCUUUAACGAGUAUCCAUUGGAGGGCAAGUCUGGUGCCAGCAGCCGCGGUAAUUCCAGCUCCAAUAGCGUAUAUUAAAGUUGUUGCGGUUAAAAAGCUCGUAGUUGGACUUGUGUCCCACGCUGUCGGUUCACCGUUCGUCGGUGUUUAACUGGCAUGCCCGUGUGGACGUCCUGCCGGUGGAUGCGGUCGGCCGUGGGCCUCUGGUCUGCGUGUCGGCGGUCCGAUGCAAUCCUACCGCGGUGCUCUUCACCGAGUGUCGAGGUGGGCCGGCACGUUUACUUUGAACAAAUUAGAGUGCUUAAAGCAGGCAGUGGUUCGCCUGAAUAUUGUGUGCAUGGAAUAAUGGAAUAGGACCUCGGUUCUAUUUUGUUGGUUUCCGGAACUUGAGGUAAUGAUUAAUAGGGACAAACGGGGGCAUUCGUAUUGCGACGUUAGAGGUGAAAUUCUUGGAUCGUCGCAAGACGAACCUAAGCGAAAGCAUUUGCCAUGAGUGUUUUCAUUAAUCAAGAACGAAAGUUAGAGGUUCGAAGGCGAUCAGAUACCGCCCUAGUUCUAACCAUAAACGAUGCCAGCUAGCGAUCCGCCGAAGUUCCUCCGAUGACUCGGCGGGCAGCUUCCGGGAAACCAAAGCUUUUGGGUUCCGGGGGAAGUAUGGUUGCAAAGCUGAAACUUAAAGGAAUUGACGGAAGGGCACCACCAGGAGUGGAGCCUGCGGCUUAAUUUGACUCAACACGGGAAACCUCACCAGGCCCGGACACCGGAAGGAUUGACAGAUUGAGAGCUCUUUCUUGAUUCGGUGGGUGGUGGUGCAUGGCCGUUCUUAGUUGGUGGAGCGAUUUGUCUGGUUAAUUC
rnacentral:rRNA from 1 species